UACGGGAGUGGCAAGCGUUAUCCGGAAUUAUUGGGCGUAAAGCGUCCGCAGGCGGUCUUUUAAGUCUGUCGUCAAAGCGUGGAGCUUAACUCCAUUUCUGCGAUGGAAACUGGAAGACUAGAGUGUGGUAGGGGCAGAGGGAAUUCCCGGUGUAGCGGUGAAAUGCGUAGAUAUCGGGAAGAACACCAGUGGCGAAGGCGCUCUGCUGGGCCAUAACUGACGCUCAUGGACGAAAGCCAGGGGAGCGAAAGGGAUUAGAUACCCCUGUAGUCCUGGCCGUAAACGAUGAACACUAGGUGUCGGGGGAAUCGACCCCCUCGGUGUCGUAGCCAACGCGUUAAGUGUUCCGCCUGGGGAGUACGCACGCAAGUGUGAAACUCAAAGGAAUUGACGGGGGCCCGCACAAGCGGUGGAGUAUGUGGUUUAAUUCGAUGCAACGCGAAGAACCUUACCAGGGUUUGACAUCCUGCGAAUCUCUUGGAAACGAGAGAGUGCCUUCGGGAACGCAGUGACAGGUGGUGCAUGGCUGUCGUCAGCUCGUGUCGUGAGAUGUUGGGUUAAGUCCCGCAACGAGCGCAACCCACGUCGUUAGUUGCCAGCAUUUAGUUGGGCACUCUAGCGAGACCGCCGGUGAUAAACCGGAGGAAGGUGUGGAUGACGUCAAGUCAUCAUGCCCCUUACAUCCUGGGCUACACACGUACUACAAUGCUACGGACAAAGGGCAGCAAACUCGCGAGAGCUAGCAAAUCCCAUAAACCGUGGCUCAGUUCAGAUCGUAGGCUGCAACUCGCCUACGUGAAGGAGGAAUCGCUAGUAAUCGCAGGUCAGCAUACUGCGGUGAAUACGUUCCCGGGCCU
rnacentral:rRNA from 1 species